CAUAAAAAAUCAUUUUUAUGAUUCUAUUUCUAUCUCGCUGUACUGCGUUACUAAGUUACCAUGAAAUAAUGUCCCAUCAAAUUUAUAUACUAUAUAUGACUACAUGUUUAUAUAUAUAUAUAUAUACUUAGUUUAAUAGAUAUUUUAAUUGGCAACUUUGUAGAAAUUAUAAUAUAACCUGUUAUAAUCUAAAGCGUUUAUUCGCAUCAGGCAGAUAGAGAAGGCAGAAGAAAGAACAGAGGACUAUGAAAAUCUUAAGUCGUGCAUGAAUUUUGACCUAUUUCGAAAAGAAGAUAUCUUUGCAACAUCCAUCAAGAACUUCCUGGGUUGAGGCUUAAUUGUUCAUAGUGAUGACAUGUUUUAUAUAUGUAGAGAAAUAACGGAGUCAAUCGACUUUUCUCAUAAUGCUGAUUAAACGAGAAACUGUGAAAGACCUUGCAAUGAGAGCCUAUGAUCCAAAUUAAAACAAUCAAUGAUAUUACAGUUGAUGAAGGAUUUUAUAAUUGUAAAAAAAAAAAAAAAAACUUAAAAAUAUUACUAUCGAUCAUACAUACAAUAG